GACCUGGCUGGGUGGUCCGCUUAACGGCGUGUACUGCUCGGCUGGGCCUUACCUCUUGGUGAGCCGGCGUGCCCUUUAUUGGUGUGCGUCGGGGAACCAGGACUUUUACCUUGAGAAAAUUAGAGUGUUCAAAGCAGGCCUAUGCCCGAAUACAUUAGCAUGGAAUAAUAGAAUAGGACU
rnacentral:rRNA from 1 species